rnacentral:misc_RNA from 1 species
GAUGAAGAACGUAGCAAAAUGCGAUAAGUAAUGUGAAUUGCAGAAUUCAGUGAAUCAUCGAAUCUUUGAACGCACCUUGCGCCCUUUGGCCAUUCCGAAGGGCAUGCCUGUUUGAGUAUCAUGAACACCUCAACUCUUUAUGGUUUUCCAUGAUGAGCUUGGACUCUGGGGGUUUUGCUGGCUCACAGUCGGCUCCUCUAAAAUGAAUCAGCUUACCAGUGUUUGGUGGGUAUCAUGGGUGUGAUAACUAUCUACGCUUGUGGUUUUUCCACCAGGUAACCUUCAGCAGUGGAGGUUCGCUGGAGCUCAUAGAUGUCUCUCCUCAGUGAGGACAGCCCUUUGAAUGUUUGAUCUCAAAUCAGGUAGGACUACCCGCUGAACUUAAGCAUAUCAAUAAGCGGAGGA